rnacentral:tRNA from 1 species
GAAAUAUAGGCUAUAUAAACCAUGGGCCUUCAAAGCCCAAACUGUGAACUACUCACUAUUUCUG